rnacentral:lncRNA from 1 species
CGCAAGUAGGCCGGUCUCCUUUAAUAUGGCAUACGUAUAAUCACUACUGCUGAAUAUUUCAAAGGGACCCGCAGGGCUGACCCCAUCCGUACCUCAACUACUGACGAUGAGCGUCGUGCGUCGGACCACCGCUUAUUUCCACUACUUGGCUGCAGGUGUCAAGUUCCCGGCGCUGAAAAAAUACUCGGGGUAAAAGGUGCCUCGGAAAAACCGAUGAAUCUGCAGUAUCCGGAGUUUGCGAUUCAGUUGGACUUAGGAAAGGGCGUGACGACACCUCGGGGACCGAGGGACGACGACGACGACGACGUCCAACUCUAUGGGUUCGAAAAACUUCGACACUCCUCGCCCCAUCGCACCCUGGAGGGUGUUUUGUUUGUGAUUAGGUCUGGAAGCUUGGAAUUUCUCCAACGAUGUAGAAGACAAUGCCAAAACCUCCCCUCAUGAAAAAUUUCUCACGGAUAUCUCUGAAAGUUUGCCGUUUAAGGGCUUUCUCAUGCUCCAAAACUCGUGGGAAGGGAUAACAAAAGCUUACGGUUUUUUCCUUCUUUUCAUUUUACAUAACCUUUUACAAUAUUGCCGAACCAGAAUGUAUAAGAAUUAUCGAGGAAUAAAAAAAGAUGUCAAACUAGUUCAAAUGAACGAAACUUCGUCGGUGAAAAUUUAAAUUCGGACGAAUGUUGAAAAAGAAUCGUAAGCUAACUCAUCGAUUUAAAAAUUCUAACAUUCAGUUUUAUAUGAUUUCCUGUCCUUCGGUUAUUCCGAUUAUGGAAGCGGAGGUCUGAUUGUGAGCCUAGGUUUAACAUGUCGUUGAAAUCGAGGUUGAAAUGUAGAUGUGUGAUGACGUAGCGAAGACGAUUGAUCGAUUUAUGAUACUUCUGAAAAUAAUAUUUCCAGAGCGCCAACUCGAAUGGAAAAGUGACAGUGUUUAAAGUUGGAGUAAUAUACAACGCCGAAUAUAAAUAUAAGUUAUAAUUUUUUCUUCAAUGCAGACGGCUGACACGUAAAAUGCAUAGAAACAAUUUGGCGCCUGGCAAAAUCGAAUAAAGAAUGGCCGCAUGGUUUGUUUCUCGCAACUAUAACAAAUUUUUUUCGGGAAAGAGGAGUUGUAGAACUUAUUAUCACCACUGUGAACCGGACAUACUUAUUUUACCUCUUUCACAACCUUCGCAGACAAUAUUGCACGGAUAAAAACAAGAGCUAAUUUAUAUAUUAGGGUGUUUCAGAAAAAAAUAAUUUGCUAUUUUCCAUUACGGCACCCUCUAAAAAUUUUUGUUCAGGUUGAAAGAAAGAUUCUGUCGAAAGAUGAGCGCUUUACGUUGCGUGGAAGAUGGCACUCAGUGAUUUUCCAGUUAUUUAAAUUUUUUUUAAUAUAUAAUAUGUGAGUACAGAAGCUGCAGAUUCAGGAAAACUUGUGUACGAUGUCACACCCUCGAUGUUAUUCUGUUAUCCACUAGUUAUUUUUGAUUUCCUUUCAAUUUAUCAUUAAAUACAUUUAUAUUUUCUAUUUUUUAUUUCGAGUCUCCGCAUGCAUUGCAUGCAUACGGCUCUCUUUUUACCUUUUUACUACUGCGGGAAAUUAAAACCGUAAGUUAUCAAUAAACUUACUGUUUAGAUAAUAUUUUCGAGACAAUCCUUACCCAAACAGACUCGUAUAUACAAACACAGCACGGAAAAUCCUACCCGCACGUGUGGAAAAGGCGGGAUAGUUCAUGAUAAAUUCUCAUGCUACACCGUACCCGAAGGGCGGGGGUAGUCUAGACAAAUCAAAAGACUCAAAAUUUUAUCGGGACCUCCUUAUUGGUCCAGCAUCCCGUAAGGAUACUGGGAACCAAUCAGGAAGUAGUUUAGACAACAGCACGCAAAUCUUUAAGGAGAAUCGUCAAUUCAUUUUUCAACAGGUCGUUAGAGUCAGAGUAGAGUCGUCAAAGAGUCGUCAUUCAGUCUUUAACAAGAAAUCAUUCUCUCGGUCUUACAAUUAGAUAAUCCAAUCACAUCAAGCGCUGAGUAAAUUCCGUGUUCUUUUACUUUCAUAUAAACUUUUUUCUACCAAUAUAUAUAACUAAAACCAUUUUGACCAUCUUCAUAAACCUAAAUUGAAUAAACGAAUAGUAGUGUUUCAAAA